rnacentral:pre_miRNA from 1 species
GUGCUCUCGUGGCCAGUGAAAUCAAGCGUGGGUGAGACCUGUUGCAAGAGGGAAGGCGACCCAUACUUGGUUUCAGAGGCUGUGAGAAUACCUGCGU